rnacentral:lncRNA from 1 species
CGCGGGGAUCGGAAUGACGGGGACACGAAUAACGGGGACCCAAAUAACGGCAAACAUCGGCCGACGCAGCUCCCUGCGCAGAGGGAUCCGCUCGCUGAGCGCUUCGUUGAAGCCGUGGGUUUCCAAGCCGAGCGGGCGCUCCCCCGUCGCGGCCCCGUUGCCGUCCCCCAGAGGCAGGGACAGGAGCUGGGACUCGGGGUCUCCCUCCUUCGCCUCCGGCCGCCUGCUUUGCUGCUUCACCACUCGAUAGCCUUUCCUGGCCUUGCUGUGGUUCCUUCGACCCGUGGGGGACACGACGGCCGCGAUCAACUCAUCCUCCCGCAGGGAGAUGAACGGCGACAGCCCGUCCAAGGGGUAGUACUGCUGGCUCUCCUCCUGGGUCUCCAGCAUCUCUUGGGUCUCCGCAAAGUCCACCUGGUGCCCUUCCCUGGGGUUGAACUCCACAGGCUGGAAAGUCCCGUCCUUGCUCCGGUUGCUGGCUGGCGGAUUCAGCGUUGUAACCAUCAGCAGCAAAAAGCCCAGCAUCAGCAACAGCGAGAGAAACUGCAGCUUACGUGAUCCAUAUCUGCAUUUCUUCCUCAAGAACAUGCUGUUGGUGACAAAAUGAUACAGACUGUCAUGUUAAAUAUCACUCGGAUCUCGCUCAGAUUCCAGUGCUCGGGUUGCAGCAACGCGCCGGUUUUUGCUAUCUGCCAAGAGGAUUUCUUGUUCCCCUCACAUUUCACCGAUGCCGUUUCAUGCUUUCCUCUCUAUUUACAGACAAAAUAGAAAACGCCUAUUAAUAUUGCACUUACUGUGGUAAAAGGCAGCAUGGAUCCAGUGGGAUGGAGUAGAUGCGUUGUUACGGAGUCCCGGCUCAGUCAGGAAAGAGCAUGUUCAGCCAAUGAAAAGAACAGCUUAAGUUUUGAUCUUUUCCUCUUUAAAUUCUAGGUGCAAAGAAAUCCCAUUUCUAACAGCUUCCUUCCAGAGCGUUUCCUGCUUCUUCAGAGUUUCCCUCCUCUCAUCUCUGAAAGCAGAUCUGACAGCUUUCCCCCGUCUGAGGCUUCAAGUUCACUGUGAUCAACAGAUGAGAACUAGUCGGUCCCUGACUUUGCUUCACACAUAACUGCAGCACUCAGUCAGGAAGCGCUUUGCCAGACAUAAUACAGAGCCAUGUGUGCGUCUUUCUCCUGGUCCUAAUGCCCCCGCUGCUCUUAUCCUAUCAAAUCAAAACUUGGCGAAAGCUGUCAGAGGUGAAACCUAAGAAGCAAAGCGCUGUGUUAUGAAGCAAGCCGAGGCACACCACGAGUCGCUCUGCUUCUGGAUAACCUUAUUAAGUUACGAAUGCUCAGAGCGAGAAGCAAGAAUUUUAUAAACUGAAUAAAAGAUGGAGUGCACAUGAUUUAUUUAGUGUUAGAUUUAUUCACAUGGUAAUGUGCUAGCUGGAGCAUAGGAGUACAUUUCAUCUGCAAUAAAUAUUUACAGCUGCUAGGAUUUUAACACUGACAUAAGGAUGCCAAAUUAUCACCUGGCAGACUGAAGUUUCCUCAUCCAUAAAUUUGGUGUUGCACAGGGAGCAGCACUUCAAGUUCUCAAUAGUCCAGGAAUAACACGUAGAAAGCUUGGGCUGGAACAGCUCCUGACACUGAAAGAGAACAACUUCUGUGAUUAAAUGGGGAGCUCAGCCUCUGAAGUCCGUUCGCUAAUAUUGCUGGCAAGUGCGUUAGUGGGCACUGACUGUGGUGUUUUUUGCUGCAAGAUGGGUGACUGUCCAAUGGGAAAAGGAGGGAGACAGUCCACAUGCUUCAACAUCACGUGCCUCUUGGUCUGGCAGAGAUCAAAUAUGGAAGUAACUCAGGUGUUGCCAACCCUUUUGGCACUGGAGACGUGGGGUGUGAUUUUUUUUUUUGCCUGUCUUGUAGCAUUUGUUUAUCAAAAAGCUCCAGCUCUGGGAGGCUUCUGACUACUGGGGAAUUUUCACACCCACCUGUUGUUAAAAAGGGGAAUUUCUACAUGUUGUAGGUAAAAGAAAAACUUGAAGACGUGAAUGCAGUACACUCAAAAGGAAGCCAGGAAUUCAUUUUCUUUCCUUCUUCUGCAUUACCUCCCUACAACCUCCUUGCUUCUGUAAGUUCGAUGUACGGUUUUCUGGUAAAUGGCUUUCACAAAACCGAAUAGGAGAGGACCCCAAUUUUUGAGCUAAAAUGAGUCAUUGCCUUUCAUAAGGAGGGUCUGGAGAGUAAAUUGUUGGAGGCAUGUAAUGUCUGGCACUUGUGUACUCCCCUAACUGUCUUAUACAGAACGCCUUGAGCAAGUGAGACCAGUCUGCUGUGUCUUGGCACCUUCUCUACCCCAGCUGUUCUUAAAAAGAUAUAAUACUGCUUCAAUCAUAUCCCAGUAGAAGGAGAAUUUAGCCAGUAUUUUGAUACUUCACCAUUGUGUGUGCCUUCCCUUUUGAGCUAAAUUCACAGAAAAAAAUAACAUUCCAACCACCUUCUGUCUGGAGAAUACUGCUCCUUAUCCUUCUUUUCAUAGGAAAAAAAAAUACGUGUUGAUGAGGGAAGCAGCUCAUAUUUGCAUAAAAGAAAAUCUGAGCUCAGAAGCAUUCAUUUAAAUAACAAUACGUGUCAGCCAUAGAAAGGCAAAUGGCAAUGGAAGUGAAGAGACCUGUCCGAGGCACUCUGCAAAACGUUCAGUUUCACCGACUUCCAUUAUCAGGUUUAUGGGAGAAAAGAAAAGGAAAAACUGAAAGAAGAGUGUGUGUGGAAUAAAUGGGAGAAAGGAUUGGCUUUCUUUUUCUAUUCUGAUCUGCUUGAGCAUUUUUAUUUCAUUUUGUUGUAGUUUUGCCUUGGCUAAAAUAUUGAAACAGAAUUCUGAAACAACUGAUCAAGAUAAUUC